CAGCUCAAAUUUGAAAUCUGGCUCCUUCGGGGUCCGAGUUGUAAUUUGUAGAGGGUGUUUCGGGUGCGAUGCCGGUCUAAGUUCCUUGGAACAGGACGUCGUAGAGGGUGAGAAUCCCGUAUGCGACCGGCGAUCAAGCCCGUGCGAAGCCCCUUCGACGAGUCGAGUUGUUUGGGAAUGCAGCUCAAAAUGGGUGGUAAAUUUCAUCUAAAGCUAAAUACUGGCCAGAGACCGAUAGCGGACAAGUAGAGUGAUCGAAAGAUGAAAAGCACUUUGGAAAGAGAGUCAAACAGUACGUGAAAUUGUUGAAAGGGAAGCGCUUGCAAUCAGACCGGUCCGGAGGCGAUCAGCCGCUGCUCGUCAGCGGUGCACUCGCCUGCGAUCCGGCCAGCAUCGGUUUGGGCGGCGGGAUAAAAGUCCCGGGAAUGUAGCUUCCUCCGGGGAGUCUUAUAGCCCGGGUCGCAAUGCCGCCCGCCCGGACCGAGGACCGCGCUUCGGCUAGGAUGCUGGCGUAAUGGUUGCAAGCG
rnacentral:rRNA from 2 species